rnacentral:rRNA from 1 species
AUUGAACGCUGGCGGCAUGCUUUACACAUGCCAGUCGAACGGCAGCGCGGGCUUCGGCCUGGCGGCGAGUGGCGAACGGGUGAGUAAUGCAUCGGAACGUGCCCAGCAGUGGGGGAUAGCCCGGCGAAAGCCGGAUUAAUACCGCAUACGACCUGAGGGUGAAAGCGGGGGACCGAAAGGCCUCGCGCUAUUGGAGCGGCCGAUGUCGGAUUAGCUAGUUGGUGGGGUAAAGGCUUACCAAGGCGACGAUCCGUAGCUGGUCUGAGAGGACGACCAGCCACACUGGGACUGAGACACGGCCCAGACUCCUACGGGAGGCAGCAGUGGGGAAUUUUGGACAAUGGGGGCAACCCUGAUCCAGCCAUGCCGCGUGCGGGAAGAAGGCCUUCGGGUUGUAAACCGCUUCUGUUCGGGAAGAAAUCCUCUGGGCUAAUACCCCGGGGGGAUGACGGUACCGGAAGAAUAAGCACCGGCUAACUACGUG